rnacentral:rRNA from 1 species
AAACCAACAGGGAUUGCCCCAGUAACGGCGAGUGAAGCGGCAACAGCUCAAAUUUGAAAUCCGGCCCCUGGCGGCCUGAGUUGUAAUUUGUAGAGGAAGCUUUAGGCGCGGCGCCUUCCGAGUUCCCUGGAACGGGACGCCGGAGAGGGUGAGAGCCCCGUACGGUUGGACGCCUAGCCUAUGUAUGGCUCCUUCGACGAGUCGAGUAGUUUGGGAAUGCUGCUCUAAAUGGGAGGUAAAUUUCUUCUAAAGCUAAAUACCGGCCAGAGACCGAUAGCGCACAAGUAGAGUGAUCGAAAGAUGAAAAGCACUUUGAAAAGAGGGUUAAAAAGCACGUGAAAUUGUUGAAAGGGAAGCGUUUACGUCCAGAGCUAGGCCUGGCGGAUCCCACGGCGAUCGCCGCCGAUGGUACUCCGCCGGCCUAGGCCAGCAUCGGUUCUCUUAGGGGGAUAAAGGCCUGGGGAACGUAGCUCCCUAGGGAGUGUAUAGCCCCUCGCGUAAUACCCCUCGGGGGACCGAGGACCGCGCAUUCGCAAGGAUGCUGGCGUAAUGGAGGUCAACGAC